ensembl:lncRNA
GAGGGAGGCUGGACAGACAGAGGGCCUCACACAGACUGCCAGCAGGGAAAGCUGUUGGCUGUAGACCCUGCCUGGCACAGACCCACCAAUGAACUGGCUUUGUCCCCAUGCCUAAUGGGCACCACCUGGGUCCCAGGGACGGCAACUGGCAUCAAUUAGUUCUCAUCAAGCCCAAGCUGGAGCGGCACCCUGGCUCCCCUCCCAGGUAGCGGCGUCAGAAACCGCCAGCUCCCAAGCUGCGUGUCGUUUACUGCUAACGGCCUCUGUUGGUGACCUCUGUUCCAUUACUCGGGACCCCACCAGGCCCGUGGCUGUCAUCAUCAUGAGAAACCUGGUUCUCUGGAGGGGCCAGAUGUGUGCAGUGAGGACUACUGAAGCAACAGAAGAGUUCUGAAAAUUCCCUUUCUGGCUUUCGAAUUUCAUGCAAUACAGAAAGAUAGGCAGUCCAAAACUGGAGGGACUGCAUGGAACCUAAGCAGGUACUAUGAAGGCAGACCUCAUGGAGAGAUCAAGUCCUCCUCAGCUGUUUCCAGGUGUCUGAUCUUGGGCAAGGUACUUAACCUCCCUGCACCUUGUUGCUGCAUCUUAAAAUGGGCAUGGUAAUCCCUGGAGGGGAAGGAGUAACUAAAACAAUCCAGGUAAACACUUUUAGGAAAUCUUCCACAUGUGUUUGUUUUGACCCAUCUUCUUUAUUCCACAAACUUUUCCGAGCAUCUAAGAUGCGUGAGGCUCUGUUCUAGGCUCAGGAAAUGCGAAGACAAAUAACAAAGCUGGAAGGACAGUUGAAAGGCAUCUCAUCUGGGACCAUCCAUUUUUAGACUGCAGAGAGCCUAAACUGAGUAAAAGGCCCUAGGAUCCACCCACCCCACUGUAUCAUUUAACUUCUGCCAGGUAACAAACCGCUCCAAAACUCAGUGACUUCCAGCAAUGUGUUUCUACUUUCUCGUGACUCUGUGGAUUCUCUGGGCAGUUCUUCUGGUCUGGGCCAGCCUGGUCAGACCUGGGUGGGCAGGGUCGGCCCCACGCACAGGUCCCAGGCCUCAGCUGGGAGGUCGGCAGCUACACUUCUCUUGGUCUCGGAGCCUCCAGGAGGCUGCUAGUGGGCUAGUUCACUAGCUGCCAGAGGGCCCCAUGGGGCUGCCAUAACAGAAGACCACAGACUGGGCAGCUUAAAGGACAGAAAUGUACUGCUCACCCUUCUGGAGGCUGGAAGUCUGAGAUCAGGGUACCAUCACAAUGGUUUCUGCUGAGAACUCCUGUCCUGGCUUGCCGAUGACCACCUUCUGGAUGUGGGCUCAUGUGGCCUUUCCUCCGAGUAUGUGUAUGGAAAGAAAUAGAGAGGUUGCUCUCCUCCUGCCAUUAGAAGGUCACCAAUCCUAUUCGUUUAGGACUCCCUCCUCAUGACCUCAUUUAACUUUGUGUGCUCAGUUGCUCAGUCGUGUUUGACGCUUUGCAACCCCAUGGGCUGUGGUCCACCAGGCUCCUCUGCCCAUGGAAUUUUCCAGGCAAGAAUACUGGAGUGGGUUGCCAUUCCCUUCUCCAGGGGAUCUUCCAGAUCCAGGGACUGAGCUUGCAUCUCCUGGAUCUCUUGUAUUGACAGGCAGAUUCUUUACCACUGAGCCACCUUGGAAGCCCCAUUUAACUAACCUUUGAUCACCUUCUUAAAGGCCUAAUUUCAAAUUCAGCCAACAAGGGGUUAGGGCGUCAACAUAUGGUUUGGGAGCACCAUUCAUACCUAAUUCAAUACCUAAUUUUUUAAAUUUCACAUCUCCAAUAUAUGCAUGCUUAUGUACACAUUGUAUACACAUUCUAUUGAAUAGAAAAUUUAGGCAGGUGAGUUAAAGAUGAAAAGCAAAAUUUGAAGUGUUAACUUUGAUGACUCUAUACUAUUAAUAAUGAAUAUUCCAAGGCACAAUAUACACUAAGGGUGAAUUUCAUCAUUAACAACAGUGGGUGUAAAUCCAUCUUUCAAUACCCCUUCAUAAUUUUUAAUUUGGGGGGCAAGAUCAGACUUCCUGUCUGAUCUUGUUUUCACCUUGCCAUGUGUCAAUACAGAGCUCAUACAUACAAUACAGAGCUCAUAGCAGCCACAUCAGCUAAUGUUUUUGUUUUUUACUGAGUUUUGUACUAUUUUAUUAGUAUUGUCUCUAAUUCUCAGUCUCUCUACAAUAAUCCAUUCAAAUCAUUUCUCCAUUCUGUAAGGAUUAGUUUAGCUAAAACUAGAUUGUGUAAUUUGUAAAUCACUUACCCAAGCACAUGUCAACCAUAAUAUCCCAAAUCCUCCUGGGAAGUAAUGCAUAGGUGAGGUUACCCCCAUCGUCCCCUCACUGUGGAGCUCUUGAAGGGCCUAACUAUGUUAUGGGUGACAUCAGACACCCUGACAUAUCCACUGAAGGAAGCUACUCGUGCUGAUCUGAACCUCAAAAGAUUAGGAAAGUAUAACUGUGGGGCUUUGGGGGGAUCCCAAAGUUUUACUUUUUCCCCACAACCCACUUGCAUUAGUACCCCACUUGGAGACCACUGAUUUGCUUUCUAAAGACAAAUUUGAAGUUGUACACACGAUGCUAAGAUUUGAAACAAUGCCUUAUUCCCAAACCAAGGGGGCUUAAAGCAAGAGAAAUGUAUUUACCCAAACCUGGGGGCUUAAAGCAAGAGAAACGUAUUCUCUCAUAAUUCGGGAGGCUUGGAAUCUGAACCCAGGGUGUGAGCGGGACCCUGACCCCUCUGGAGGCUCCGGGAGAAUCCUUCCUUGACUCUCCAGGUUCUAGGGUUGUCAGCAUUCCUCGGCUUGCAUCACUCUGCAGUGUAUUCACAUGACCGUUUCCUUCGUGUGUCUAUCUUCCCUGGUACAUGUCCUUUUACAGUCACAAAUGACAUUUGGCAUUGGAUGUAGGGCCUACCCGGGGCUUCCCAGGUGGCUCAGUUCAGUCAGUUCAGUCACUCAGUCA